UACGGAGGGGGGCUAGCGUUGUUCGGAAUUACUGGGCGUAAAGCGCACGUAGGCGGCUUUGUAAGUCAGAGGUGAAAGCCCGGAGCUCAACUCCGGAAUUGCCUUUGAGACUGCAUCGCUUGAAUCCAGGAGAGGUGAGUGGAAUUCCGAGUGUAGAGGUGAAAUUCGUAGAUAUUCGGAAGAACACCAGUGGCGAAGGCGGCUAACUGGCCCCAUUACUGACGCUGAGGCUCGAAAGCGUGGGGAGCAAACAGG
rnacentral:rRNA from 1 species